rnacentral:lncRNA from 1 species
UUCGCCUCGCGGAGGAUCUGUACAAAAUAUCUUGCAGCCGAUCCCAUCGUAUAAUGGCGCAACGGAGCGGAACACAAGUCCACCGAUGCGAUACGAGCAAAGGACAUACGAGGACGGAAAACGGUGGUGACCGGUCGGUCCUGGUGACGCCAGCAUCGAUUCCGGCCAAUAAUCCCGUCCAGGUUCACUCCCUCUUUCCUCGGCGUUCUCGCCUCCGCCACCGGCCGCUGCUCGUCUCUCCUCCCCCUUUCUAUUGUUCCGUCUCGUCUCCUCGUUGCCUUUUCUUCCGGUUAGGGUUUCUUCUACUUGCGCCCUCUCUCUCAUUCUCUCUGUCCGCCGUCGAUGGGAGCUCGCCGCUAUUGUCGUCUCAGGUCCUGUCGUUGUUCGUUGCUGAUGCUCCUGUUACUUCGAUCUUUAUAUCAGAGUUCUUGUUCUUGCUUCUAAUCUUUGAUGCGAGAGCUUCGCCAUGGACAACCUCUCGCUGGGAUCGAUGACGCUCCCUUGCCUCCACCACUUCCCCACGCCCGUAUCGCUGGCGACCCGAUCCCCGUUGAGCUCGAUUCCGUUCUCCGCGACCCUUCACGCAUCCUUCCGUCCCUCCGCCUAUUUUUCUGCAUCUCCUCGACCAGCAGCUGGAAUUCACCCGCGACGGCUUCGCGAGGACGAAUUUUUUGGGGACUCGAAUCGUCCUCAUGGUGAUCCCCUGAACCUGACGGCCAAGGUUUUGUGGGGAUUAUGUUUGACUUAGGCUUAUUGCGGAUUAAGUGUGGGGCUAUCUUGACGUGUGACAUCGCUCACAUUGGUCGUAUUGUGGCUGCCAAGGUUCAAAUCCUCUCUUUUAUUCAGCAAUGCUUUUGCUUCAUUUUGUUCUUUGAGUGAUUUAUACUGUUCCUUUCAAUUUUGAUUUAGUGAGAAUAUGAACUACCCAUGAUUAAAAUUAUAACUGAUACGGGCUAGUGAGAAAAUUGCUGACCUCGGUAAGAAGACUGAGAGACUCUCACACACAACAGUCAUCUUGAAAGAUAAUGCUGUUGUCCGAUCCCUUUCUUUGGUAAAGUUGCCUAUUGCCUCUUUUGACUCCGAAUUGAAGUUAAAUUUAGAUCAUGUAUAAAGCAUAUACUUAAACUAGUGUUUCCUUAAUAUCCCAAGAGAUUAUAGCCUGAUGUAAGAGAGUUGCCUUUCGUUUUUAGGUUUGGUGUAAGGGUGUCUUCACUUGGAAUUGUAUGUUUCAUUUUGAAUUGCUUGGCUAAAUUCUACUUCUGGAACUGUAAAACUGUCUGGCCAUGGGUUUUUUUUUUUCUGGUUUUGUACAUUGAUUUAUAUCAAUUUUUAUGCCCAUUAGUUGUUGUUGUGCUUCAUGGCUUCUAUUUAAUCUUUUUCUUUAAAUCUAUAUCAUAUCUACCUUCUGCAUCACUUAAUUCCAAAAUUAUGAUUAUAGCAUUGGAGUUCAGUGGAUGUUCCCAAACUAUAGACAAAGGGAUUGGAAACUUGUGGGAUUGGACAUAAACUUUUUUUUUUCUUUGCAAAAAAAAGGGGUAUUGGAAACUUUUGGGACUUGACUUUUUCCUUUGGUAAGUGCUGAUGUUGGGCCAGUGGUGGGUAUUGAAUUCUUUAAUGGAAGUUAAACAUCAUGACUGGGAGGUUCCGUUUCUUCGUUGGAUUAUCUCAUUACUAACUGAUUACCUUUAUUGUCUCUAAAAGGAAGACAGAAAUUUUAUUUUUAUAUUUCAGUAUUGAAAGUUGAACCCCAGUCUACCUGGGCUGCUGGUUUGCAAAUAUGAAUCAUGAUGUUAUUUUUAUAUUGGAAAUACAUUGGUGAUAAUAAAUCUCCAAAAUGAGCUGCUUAUUGCUAAUAUCAUUUAUUGUAAACUGUUCAAAUUUAUCCUUUUGAAUUGCAUAUCAUGGACUUCUUUAAACAUUAUUAAGGAUUUUUAGUUUAGAUUCACUGGAGCAUGUGUCAACGGUGGACAGAUACUUGUCCCCUAGUUUUGAAAUGAUGUGUUGUUAGGGAAAUACUUGGUAAAUGUUUGAGAGGCUGAUAGAUAUGAUGAUAAUACGUUUGUACACUGAAAAAGAAAUUUUCAUCAAGGAAAACAUGAUAAGAGAGAUCACAUCUGAAGACAUUAAUAUUUUCGGACAUUGGAGAGAAAUUGGAAUGAAGAUUUUGGAGGUCCAAAGCUCUAUGGUUAGAUGAGAGCAAUUUAAAUCCAUGCUUGUUACUGACUUUAAAAAAAUGCUCUUAUAUGUGCAUACUUUAACAUGCAUUUCAUAGAAAAUAACUACUAUUUUCAUAAUAAUUUAAUAUUAGAUGAAAUUGGUACACAAAAAAAAAUGGUGAAAUGGUUCUCACGUCUUCCAAUCCUCUCUCGGGAAUUAGGAUCUUUUCCCCCUCAAAGUAGGAUCCUUCAUCUUUUUGGCAAUGGUAGAUCUUUGAGAUUAGAAAACUCAAAAUCCUACUUUACUUUAUCCUGUCAAUUGAAUCAAAUGAACCUUGACCGUCAUGAAAAACAGUAGUCCAGACUCCAAAAAGUUAAGGAAAUCCUGUUUGUUCCCUCUUGCUUAGUCACCAAGGUUUUAGGACUGACUGACUUAAAACAGAUUAUGAAUCUUCAAGAUUGAGUUUGUAGAAAAUGUAUUUGAACCAGGAUUAGAUGCUCUUUUCAUUUGGAAAAUAUGGCUGGGGUUCAAUCAUAGAGUUUUUACUGGACAAUAAUUGUUUUUUCCCUUGUUCAGUGUGCAAAGUUUAAAACUGUAACACAUGGUGCACAUCACCAAAUGGUUUUUUCUGUAGCCAACUUGUCCUACCAUCAGUUAUAGCGAAAAAAAGAAAAAUCAUUUUUUUUUCCUUCUGCAGUCUCUUGUUUCUAAUCCACUUCUUUUUUUUUCUCUCAUCUUGCCCAAGAUAUUUUCUAGAACGAGAUAUACACAUCAUGCAUAAUUUUUAUUUUUCUGUAUUACGAAGAUCUUGUUGCAUUAUUAGUCAUACCAGAAUCUGCACUUUCUUCUAUUAUCUCUUCUGUCUUGUUCAUUCAAUUUUUUCAAUGUAAAUAUUCGAGAUAUUUAAGAUAGCGACUAAUGAUCUUGUCUCUUUUUCUUUUCCUUUUCAGAUAAGGGAAUAUCACAUUGAAGUCUAAUUAACCAUCGCACAGAUUGUUGAGGAAAGCACAGAGUACCGAUGAGGAAGCAGAAAAACCCUCUCUCUCUCUCUCUCUCUCUCUCUCUCUCUCUUA